GACGAACGCUGGCGGCGUGCUUAACACAUGCAAGUCGAACGGAAAGGCCCCUUUGGGGGUACUCGAGUGGCGCACGGGUGAGUAACACGUGAGUAACCUGCCCUUGACUUCGGGAUAACUUCAGGAAACUGGGGCUAAUACCGGAUAGGAAUCCUUGCUGCAUGGUGGGGGUUGGAAAGCUUCGGCGGUUUUGGAUGGACUCGCGGCUUAUCAGCUUGUUGGUGGGGUAGUGGCUUACCAAGGCUUUGACGGGUAGCCGGCCUGAGAGGGCGACCGGCCACAUUGGGACUGAGAUACGGCCCAGACUCCUACGGGAGGCAGCAGUGGGGAAUAUUGCACAAUGGGCGGAAGCCUGAUGCAGCAACGCCGCGUGCGGGAUGACGGCCUUCGGGUUGUAAACCGCUUUCAGCAGGGGCGAAGCUUUUGUGACGGUACCUGCAGAAGAAGCACCGGCUAACUACGUG
rnacentral:rRNA from 1 species